rnacentral:rRNA from 1 species
AUGUAAUGUAAUGCCUACAACGUUAAUGCACCAGAUCCCACUAAAACUCUGUAGUUAAGCGUGUUUGGGCUAGAGUAGUACUGGGAUGGGUGACCUCAUGGAAAGUCCUAGUGUUUUACAUG